rnacentral:rRNA from 1 species
UACGUAGGCAGCGAGCGUUGUUCGGAGUUACUGGGCGUAAAGAGUGCGUAGGCGGUUUUCUAAGUUUGGUGUGAAAUCUCCCGGCUCAACUGGGAGGGUGCGCCGAAGACUGGAAGGCUUGAGUAUGGGAGAGGUAAGCGGAAUUCCUGGUGUAGCGGUGAAAUGCGUAGAUAUCAGGAGGAACUCCUGCGGUGUAGACGGCUUACUGGACCAUAACUGACGCUGAGGCACGAAAGCGUGGGUAGCAAACAGG